rnacentral:misc_RNA from 1 species
UUUCCGUAGGUGAACCUGCGGAAGGAUCAUUAACGCACCAAAUGUGAGGUUCAUGCGAGGGCUGUCACUGUCCCAAAAGACGUGCACGCCCGAGUGUGUCUUCUUGCAUAAUAAUCCAUCUCACCCUACGUGCAUCACCGCGUGGGCACCCUUCGGUAUCAUCUCGGUGGGGGGCUCGCUUUUUCCCCCAAACCCCCCUUUUAGAUGUGUAGAAUGACCACAUUUAUGCACUCAAUACAACUUUCAACAACGGAUAUCUUGGCUCUC